GCCUUCCUACGGGAGGCAGCAGUGGGGAAUAUUGCACAAUGGGGGAAACCCUGAUGCAGCGACGCCGCGUGAGUGAAGAAGUAUUUCGGUAUGUAAAGCUCUAUCAGCAGGGAAGAAAAUGACGGUACCUGACUAAGAAGCCCCGGCUAACUACGUACCAGCAGCCGCGGUAAUACGUAGGGGGCAAGCGUUAUCCGGAUUUACUGGGUGUAAAGGGAGCGUAGACGGCAGUGCAAGUCUGGAGUGAAAGGCGGGGGCUCAACCCCUGGACUGCUCUGGAAACUGUACGGCUGGAGUGCAGGAGG
rnacentral:rRNA from 1 species